UUCUCCCUGAGACUUAAAGUCUCCUGAAGGAACGUUGAAGACGACGACGUUGAUAGGCCGGGUGUGUAAGCGCAGCGAUGCGUUGAGCUAACCGGUACUAAUGAACCGUGAGGCUUAACCUU
rnacentral:rRNA from 1 species